AAGCACUCCAUAUUAUCGACAAGAACAAUGGACCAGUCGAAUACAUUACGGUUAGGUAAGGGAAGUGGUAAUUAAACGCGAAUCUAGGUAGGUUUCUGACCACCUGUAAAAGAAAUGGAUGCCCUUUAGCAAAUCCCAUUACAUUAUUGCUAAUCCCACUUGGGGAAGUUCUCCUCACCCAUGCUGGAUAAUGCAAUAAGGGAUCAAGGGUUCGAUUACAACCAACAUCCAAAUCCAAAUAUAUUCCACCGUAUUUGUAAAGAAUAAAGUAUCGAACGACAUCAGCCCGUUCAAUAUUGUAAGGAUAAGAAUCAUAUUGAGUCAAAAACCAAGGAUAAUCAGUAGCAAUAAACUCCCUCAUGGAUUCAUCAGUCCACAAUACAUAUUCAUAAUCAGGAUGUAGAUCAAUGCAACUUUUCUGGGCACCAACCCAUUUUUCCGGAAUUUCGUUGGUUUUCCAAGUCUGAUGUAUAAUUUUAGGAAUA